rnacentral:rRNA from 1 species
GACGAACGCUGGCGGCGUGCCUAACACAUGCAAGUCGAGCGAGGAAGAGGGAGCUUGCUUCCGAAUCCUAGCGGCGGACGGGUGAGUAACGCGUGAGCAAUCUGCCUUUUACAGGGGGAUAACGCAUCGAAAGAUGUGCUAAUACCGCGUAAGACCACAGCACCGCAUGGUGCAGGGGUCAAAGGAGUAAUCCGGUAAAAGAUGAGCUCGCGUCCGAUUAGCUAGUUGGUGAGAUAACAGCCCACCAAGGCGACGAUCGGUAGCCGACCUGAGAGGGUGAUCGGCCACAUUGGAACUGAGAAACGGUCCAAACUCCUACGGGAGGCAGCAGUGGGGAAUAUUGGGCAAUGGGCGCAAGCCUGACCCAGCAACGCCGCGUGAAGGAAGAAGGUCUUCGGAUCGUAAACUUCUAAUCCUUGGUGAAGAUAAUGACGGUAGCCGAGAAGGAAGCCCCCGGGCUAACUACGUG